GAUGAACGCUGGCGGCGGGCCUAAUACAUGCAAGUCGAGCGAACAGACGAGGAGCUUUCUCCUCUGACGGUAGCGGCGGGCGGGUGAGUAACACGUGGAUAACCUACCUAUAAUACUUGGAUGACUUCGUGAAACCGGAUCCGAUACCAGAGAAUAUAUUGAACCGGAUGGAUCAAUAGUUCAUCACGGCUUUGCUGUUACUUAGAGAUGGAUCCGCGCCGGAUUAGCUAGUUGGUAAGGUAACGGCUUACCAAGGCGACGAUGCGUAGCCGACCUGAGAGGGUGAUCAGCCACACUGGAACUGAGACACGGUCCAGACUCCUACGGGAGGCAGCAGUAGGGAAUAUUGGACAAUGGGCGAAAGCCUGAUCCAGCCACGCCGCGUGAGUGAAGAAGGUCUUCGGAUCGUAAAGCUCUGUUAUUGGGGAAGAAAAACAGUAUAAGAAUAUCUGGCUGUUUUGACGGUACCUAAUGAAUAAGCACCGGCUAACUACGUG
rnacentral:rRNA from 1 species